AAACCGUGAUAGGGGCACUGAGUGAUGUAGCUUUUAAACCUUUCCCAAGCUCCUCUAUAGAGUGUGCUCAAUAAUGAAGCUGUGUGAAACCUGAGAUCUCGUUCUUCAAUCU
rnacentral:snoRNA from 1 species